AGUUUAAAGUGUGUGAAAUGUAAAAUAAUAGAGAACCAAGAAACAUGUCGUAUCUAGUAUAUUUUUUUUUUUCUUCUGAUUUAGGGAUGUCAAAAUCAGUUAAAAUGCAUGGGCCGACUAGAUACAACCCAUCAAUUCUAAUGGAUUUGAUGGGUUAAAUGAGUUUUGAUUAUCUAUAUAUUUUUGAAAUACAUUUUUAAAA
rnacentral:sRNA from 1 species